GAUGAAGAACGCAGCGAAAUGCGAUACGUAAUGUGAAUUGCAGAAUUCAGUGAAUCAUCGAAUCUUUGAACGCAUAUUGCGCUCUCUGGUAUUCCGGAGAGCAUGCUUGUUUGAGUAUCAGUAAACACCUCAACUUCCAUAUCUUUUUUGAAAUGGGAGUUGGACUUGAGUGAUCCCAACGCUUUUCCUCACCGAAAAGUGGCGGGUUACUUGAAAUGCAGGUGCAGCUGGACUUUUCUCUGAGCUAUAAGCAUAUCUAUUUAGUCUGCCUAAAAAACAGAUUAUUACCUUUGCUGCAGCUAACAUAAAUGAGAUUAGUUCUUGUGCUGACUGAUGCAGGAUUCACAAAGACGGCUUCGGCCGACUUUGUAAACUCGAUCUCAAAUCAAGUAAGACUACCCGCUGAACUUAAGCAUAUCAAUAAGCGGAGGA
rnacentral:misc_RNA from 1 species